rnacentral:rRNA from 1 species
UACGUAGGGGGCUAGCGUUGUCCGGAAUCAUUGGGCGUAAAGCGCGUGUAGGCGGCCCGAUAAGUCCGCUGUGAAAGUCCAGGGCUCAACCCUGGGAUGCCGGUGGAUACUGUCGGGCUCGAGUCCGGAAGAGGCGAGUGGAAUUCCUGGUGUAGCGGUGAAAUGCGCAGAUAUCAGGAGGAACACCAAUGGCGAAGGCAGCACUCUGGGACGUGACUGACGCUGAGACGCGAAAGCGUGGGGAGCAAACAGG